rnacentral:rRNA from 1 species
UACGGAGGAUCCUAGUGUUAUCCGGAUUUAUUGGGUUUAAAGGGAGCGUAGGCGGGAGGUCAAGUCAGCUGUGAGAUGUAUCUGCUUAACGGGUACACUGCAGUUGAAACUGGUUUUCUUGAGUGCGUAAGAGGCAGGCGGAAUUCGUUGUGUAGCGGUGAAAUGCUUAGAUAUGACGAGGAACUCCUAUUGCGAAGGCAGCUUGCUGGGUCGUUACUGACGCUGAUGCUCGAAGGUGCGGGGAUCAAACAGGAUUAGA